rnacentral:sRNA from 1 species
GAGGCUUCACUUCCCUUGGUCUGGGCUUCUCUGAGGCGGCGAGAGAUGGUCAGGUCUGGAGCUCGACCGGGCCAGGUGUUAUCUUCAGGAAGGCACACUGGACCUGCUAAAUUAACAAAUGGAAAGAAAGCGUAAGUACUUGAAGACGUUUACAACUUCAGAUUUCAAGGAAUUUUUCAGGUCUUUGGGCUGGAUGACAUGUCGUCUACCCCAGAAAAUUAGGUAGGCCUCUACCAUCACAAGCUCUGAGGAACAAUUUUUCAUGUCUACCCAUGUUAAUCAUUUUAGUAUUUAACAGUCUUUCUGAUCUUCAGAAUGUGUUUAUAAAUUCAUCUUGUACAUGGUUGGACAAGCUUUCUUGUCUUUGCUGGAAAGAAAAUGACCACUUACUAAUAUAUUUUGGGAAAAAUAUUUGUAAGAAUAUUAAUGAGCUUGUUUUCCAGGACCUAUUUAAGAAAAAUACCACGUUUUAAUGCAGAUUCUGGCUAUUCCAUCCAUUCUGAUUCAGAAAGUCAGGCUGAAACUGUACACGGGCUUGAUGGUUGUGCUUCUUUG